rnacentral:lncRNA from 1 species
CCCUCCUCCUUCUUUCUUUCUCUCUUUUUCCCCCUUCUCUCUCUUUCUCUGUGUGUGUGUAUGUCUCUCUCUCUCUUUCUGUGUGUGUGUGUGUGUGUGUGUGUGUGUGUGUGUGUGUGUGUGUGUGUGUGUGUGUUUGAGUAUUCCAGUGUGUUGGGAGAAGGUGACGCGGUGAAAUAAGAACCGUGACACAAUGGAUGCAUUGGGGGAACUUGUGUGAGACACUGGCUUUUUCUCUGCACUCUGUGGACUAUCACUGUGAGAUUUCAGUAGGCCCAUUUAUAAAGAAGCUGCUGACUCAUGGGGUAGUCAGACUGAAAGGGACCUAUAACAGAGGGUGAGUCAAGAGUGAGGAAGCAAUUGGAACAGGUGGUGAUAUGGGCAGCAUGUGGCUGGCAGAAAUGAUGAGACAUUGUUGAGUUCUUUCACUGUUUAGGUGAUAACCAGUGAGAAUGCCUAUGGAUGUGGGGUAUGAAAGAGAGAAGGAAUGCUAAGUAACUUCAAGGCUUAGUGGGCAACAAUCAGAACAAUUGGAGGAACGUAUUGCUGCAGAAAGGGGAUUAGGUUCUCAUUGGGUGUGUCACCUUUCUGACUUCAGUUGAGAUAGCUGGGAGACAGGAGUAAUUCAUAGGACUCAGUUGUAGACACUCUGUCUGCAUAGUCCUAAUAUAAACCUGUGACACUAGAUGUGUUCAUUGAAUGCACUGUUUAAGAUAAAAAGCAGAAUACAUUUAAAGCAUAACAUCUAAACUACUUGAGCAUUAAAAGGUCUUGGGACAAAUCAGAACAAAUAGGAAGAAAAAAACCAAAACAAAUGGAAAUAAAGAACCUGUAUUGUAUAGUUCUUCAAACUCUGCCACUGCAUUGCUGUUACUACAAUAUAAAGUAGGACCUGAGGUUUGGCCAUUGCUUGCCUCUGUGGUCUCUGGAGACUGUGGUGAUACUGUGGUUAUAGGGUUCUGUCAUGUAGGAAGGAGCUCCUUGAAACAUUGAAAACAUGUUCCCUACAGGUUGCUUCAGCUACACAGAUCAUGCCUAUUUGUAAGUAUAAUUUGUGAAAUGCUUUAGUGACUUAGAAAACACAGCUGGUUUUACUCUAUCACCUCAGAGGAGCACCAUUCUAGCAGCUGAACAAAGUUGUAGUAUUUGCUAAUGGAAGCCCUGUUCACAAAGACAGUUUCUAGAGUGGAAUCAAAAGAAAGAAAAGGGAAGAACCAAACAUAUGCACAAAAUAAAAGGAUGCACAAUUCUUACCAUUGGGAAGCCAAAAAAGUAUAAAAAGUAAAAAUAAAGUUGUGUCUUUAUUUAGAAGGAUUUAGAAUCACAACAAUAUUAUGUGUCACAUGCAAAUGGAAAACUCAGUGAGGCACGGUUUUCUGCCCUUGAUACUGGACAUGGUUUAUGGUGUUGUCUCCUUUAAUCUUUCCUUGUGAGAGGAAAAAGAAACAGAGACAUAUAGUUAACAAUAACAUUUAAAACUGCAUGUGUCAUUUGUCCAAACUUACAGUCACAGCACCCAGAAAAUGCAUAGGAUACAGUAAACAAUCAGUGAAGGCUUGCUGAAUAUGGCAGUGGUUUGAAUUGUGUUUGUAUUCACAGUCCUUGAGCCUUUGCUGAAGAGUCUCCAGGCAGUUUUCCACAGUCUGUCUAUACAGCUCUUCACUUGGGCAUUUUUAGUUGGGAGAGUGAGCAUCACAGGACACACUUAUUCACAAGCUAAUUUAUCAAGACCCAAGAGCAGGCUUUUCUAUUUCUACAUGUGACCCAGACAUGUUUGACACAAUUUCAGUGUUCAACAUAAUCACAGAUUUGUACAUUCAAAAGCCACUUCAUUAUGCAAGUUGUAUUAACAUUUGUUAUCCUGCCAAAUAAUUCAUUCAAUAAAUUUAAAUUUAAAAUAUGUCUUAAAUGCUGAUGUUUUACUGAUUAUAAAAUAACAUAUGCUUAUUAUAGGAAGUUGGGAAUAUGCAGAAAAAUCCAAAGAAGGAAACCCUUCACUCUCAGUCCCAGAGUUAACAGAAAACACUUUUCAAAGAUUUGGUGUGAUUUUCUUUUGCCAGUCAUUAAAAGUUCAUUGCUCUGGAAGUAACUGUAAUAAUAACUCCAUUGCUUAUUCACACACAAGGUGAAUUACCUGACCUAAAUGUACCAAAAAAUCUGUGAAGAAAAGGAAUUAGUGUUAAGACAUUUCAUGAGUGAGAUAAACAAGACAAGGAGACUGGGCUGCUUUCUCAAGGUUGCAGUUAGAGCCCUACUGACGCCAUUGAACUCACCCCUCUGGUUUCAAGUGCUGUUAAAUCUAACUUCUCUCUGGUUGAUAAAGGUCUAUUCUGCUUUUACAUGUCCAUCACAAACACUUUAACAAUUAAACAUUCCUCUCCCUAUCCUUCAUUGAUUGAGCCCCUUGAAGACACAGCCUUCCUAGGCCUUGCUCUCUGAUUCCACAUGCUCCUUUAUAACGAUACACUUGUUCUUAGGUUUGUGGUCUCCUUUUGUUGUUUGACAAAAAAAAUAUUUGAAAUAUAAAUUAUUGACAAGACAAGAGUUGCUGAAUAAAACAAAUUGUCCAGCAGGUGACAUUCUGCGUCUCACUCCUAAUGCUGCUUUUGGGGUCCACCACUUUCUUGCCUGCCUCGCGAAUGUCAGUACAGGCUGAGGUGAACCCUUUCCAUGAAUUAUUACUUUCAAAAUCUUAUGGAGGAAAAGGGCUCAGUGCUUUGCAGUUUGAAGGCUGGGGCAGAUUUGUCAGACAUGGUUUGACACUUCGUGAAUCCAUCCGCUGGAUAACAGUAAGACUCAUUUCCCAGCAGCAUCAGUGGUUCUCUCAAGGAGAGGGUGGUUAGGCUUAUUUUCUAUAAGGAAGCCUGCUGCAUUAAAAAGGGAAAUAAAUACUCUGCUUUCGUUUUACUUUUAUUUUCUCUAGAGAAGACAGAAUCACUUCUUUGAGGUGCCCAACUUUGAAAGGUCUGCUGAGGUUGCUAUUAUCAUCGUUUGUUACAGUGGCUUUAAAAAACAAAACAAAAGAUGCCUAUAUUCAGUGUGUCUCUUCAGAACUUAUUUUAUUUUCAACACCCAGUCCUGCUUCUUUGCUGAUCUUUUGCAUGAUGCUGUGCUGGCAUUAGCUUUGCUAUUUAUGAUUUCUACAUUUCCAUUAUGAUGCUCACAUGUUUAUUUUAGUGCAGAAAUAUAUUUCACCAACUCUAAAAACCCAAACCAUUAGAAUAUACAUCUGCCAUUGAAAUCUUGCUGAUUGUAUCCACAAAUGAAAAGAGAAGACCCUUGCUCCCAUUUUAAUCCAUUAAAAUGGAUAGUUCAUUAUCUCUUCUUAGGUCUCCAGGAGGCUGGAUAUCUACUGGGGGGCUGGGGAGGGGGGGUACAGAGCCAUUGUUUACUAUGAUGAACUACUAAAACCUGUCUGCAUUUCAGUUGCAAACCCAGAGGCAUGGCCCUGCCCCAUUUAGGGAAUGUCUUCACAUUGCUUAACUCUGUGUUCCUAUAGGGAAAUGCACACAAUGUUUUUUCUGUAUAAAGCAUAAAGAUGAAAUUCGAAAGCCUGGCUCUGCUACUCAAUACCCAGACUGGAAAGGAGAUCACAUUGAUGCUUUCUACAAGGAACCUUAUUUUUUGUUGCCACAGUCCUCCAAACUGUGACCCUUUUAUCUUUGCCUUCAUAAUAUCUAACACACUUCUCCUGGGGAUGAAUGUUAUGUUACCCUAUUAUUUCCUGCAUUUCUGGUCAUACAUUAAAAACUAAUGUACUUUAUAUUUGUAAUUAUGUAUAAAGUCACAAAUUUCAUUUUUUAUUUGUCCAAUCAUAUUAAGUAAGCAGUUUCCAAAUACAGUAACUUUUACCUAGAGUCAGAUAUUGAUAAUUCUUUAGUUAAUUUGUUAUUAUUUUGGAGUAUUAUGUGUCUGUCUUUGAAGCUGAGAUGUGUUUCUUGUAUGCAAUGGAAGAAUGGAUUCUGUCUUCAUAUCCAUUCUGUUAGCCUGUAUCUUUUUAUAGGCAAGUUAAGAUCAUUGACAUUGAGGGAUAUUAAUGACCAUUGAUUGUUGAUUCUUUUUUGUUUUGGAUUUGUUGGUGGUGGCGUUAUUGUGUGUGUAUUUCCCCACUUUUUUUUUUUUGGUAAAGUGGGAUUUCCCGUGGUUUUUUUGAGUGUAGUUAUAUUUAUUACGUUGGAGUUUUCCUUCCAUUAAUUUCUGUAGGGCUGGAUUUGUGGACAUGUGUUGCUUAAAUCUGGUUUUGUCAUGGAAUAUCUUGGUUUUCCAUCUAUAGUGAUUGAAUGCUUUGCUGGAUAAAGUAGUCUGGGAUGACAUCCAUGUUCCCUUAGAGUUUGUAGAACAUCUAUCCAUAAUCUUCUGGCUUUCAAAGUUUCCAUUGACAAGUCGGGUGUAAUUCAGAUAGGUUUGCCUUUGUAUGUUACUUGGCCUUUUUCUUUUGCUGCUCUUAAUAUUUUUUUUUUAUUCUGUACGUUUGGUGUUUUGAUUAUUAUGUGGUGAGGGGACUUCCUUUUGUCGUCCAAUCUAUUUGGUGUUCUGUAAGCUUCUUGUACUUUCAUAGACAUAUCUUUCUGUAGGUUAGGGAAGUUUUCUUCUAUGAUUUUGUUGAAUCUGUACCGUUGUGCUGAAUUUCUUCACCUUCUUCUAUACCUAUUAUUCUUAGGUUUGGUCUUUUCAUGGUGUCCCAUAUUUCCUGGAUAUUUUGUGUUAGGGAUUUGUUGGACUUGAGAUUUUCUUUGGUCUGUAUAUCCUCUAGUGAGUCUUCAACACCUGAGAUUCUCUCUUCUAUAUCUUGUAUUCUAUUGGUUAUGCUUUCAUCUGUUUACCCAGCUUUUCUAUUUCCAGCAUCCCCUCAUUCUGUGUUUUCUUUAAUGUUUCUAAUUGUGCUUUCAAACCGUGAACUGUUUGAAUUGUUUCCUUCACUUGUUUGGUUGUUUUUUCUUGGUUUUCUUUAGAUUCUUUAAGGGAUUUGUUUAUUUCUUGAAUUUUUGAUUUGUCUUUUCCUCCAUUUCAUGUAAGUUUUUGCUUGUUUUUUCUUCUAUUUCUUUAAGGGAUUUUCUUUUUUUCCUCUUUAAUAGUCUGUAUCAUCUUCAUAAGAUAAUUUUUAAGGUCAGUCUCUUUUUCAUCUUCUGCAUUGGGCUUUUCAGUUCUUGCUUGUGUAGAGUCCCUAGAUUCUGGUGGUGUCAUAUUGGUCUUUCUGUUGUUGAGUGUGUUCUUAUACUGUCAUCUUCCCAUCCCUUCUUCCAGUGGGUGCAGGUGGGGUCUCUCCCUCUCUCAGGUGGCAAGUGGAAGGCUCAGGCAGCAGACUCAGGUGGCAGCUGGAGGGAAGAGGGCAGUGGGUGGACAAGGGUUAGGUGUAUCCGGACUCAGGGUGGGCCUUCCGGUCUGGGAAGUUCCACUGCACUAUUGUUGCGGGGACGGCUCAGGCAGAAGCAAUCAGGGGGUGAUGGGGAGGUUGGGGGUAGAGCAGCUCCCAGACUCACUCAGGUGGCAGGUGGAGGGCAGAAGGCAGAGGGCAGAGGGUGGACAAGGAUGAGGUGUGUCUGUACUCAGGGUGCCCCACCACAUCCCCCAUCAGCUAUUUUCUUUGAUGAUAAAAUGUCUCUAAGGGGUCCUAUUUGCUUAUCCAGAACAAGCCUCCAUUAGAACCACAAAGGUCCAUUUAGUGAGUGAGUAUAGACUUGAACACUUUUGGUGGUCAGGCAAAACACUAUUAUUUUAUUCUAUGAGAUGUUGUGUCCCAACAGGCAUUUGUGUUUGUAAGUGAUGUGGAAAGGAAUGAGUAGCCACUGAGCCAUUUAUCCUGACUAUGUAAGUUAUUAGUUAUUAUGAAAUACCAUAAACAAAAGUUUUCUAACAUCCUUACAUAGCACAAAGAAUGUGAAAUAGUAAUUAUUAUUAUACUUAGUUAGUUAUAAGUUAACUAGAUAAGCUCAGAGUCAUAUCAGUUGGGUCUAGUAAAUACUUGUCUAUCAGUACACCACCUGAGUUUUGAUAAAAUACCAUAAACAACAGUGCAGAAUGCCCAGAGAGGAGACUAACUGUUUAUGCCAGCCAGAAUGAUAAUUCUCAUCAUCCAUAAACUACUAACAGAAAUCUCACAAUAACCACCACCCAUUCAAACUCUACAAAUCAGGCAAAGGAACAGGAACAAUGAAGAGAAUAGUCCAAUCAAUAGAAGGCAACAGAACAUAUCUUAAAAUUGGCAGAGGAUAUAAUAUACUUAUUUUGACUGUAUUUCAUAUAGUAAGAACUAUGAGUCUUUAAAGAAAGAAAUUAAAGAAUAUACCAGAAAAUGGAAAGAUCUCCCAUGCUCCUGGAUAGCUAGAAUCAACAUACUAAAAAUGGCAAUCUUGCCAAAAGCAAUCUACAGAUUAAUGCAAUUCCCACCAAAAUCCCAACACAAUUCUUCACAGACCUUGAAAGAACAGUACUCAACUUCAUGUGAAAAACAAAAAACCCAGGAUAGCCAAAAAAGCCCUAUACAAUAGCAGAACUUCCAGAGGCAUCACUAUCCCUGAAUUCAAGCUCUAUUAUAGAGCUAUAGUCCUGAAAACAGCUUGGCAUUGGUACAAAAGUAGGCAGGUUGAACAAUGGAAUCAAAUUGAAAACCCUUAUAUUAACCCAUAUACCUUAUGAACACCUGAUUUUUGACAAACAACCUAAAUUUGUACAGUGGAAAAAAGAAAACAUCUUCAACAAAUGGUGCUGGCAUAACUGGAUUCAGACAUAUAGAAGAUUGCAGAGUGACCCAUAUCUAUCGUCAGAACUAAACUUAAGUCCAAAUGGAUCAAAGAGCUCAACGUAAAUUCAGCCACACUGAACCUCCUAGAAGAGAAGGAAGAAGGGAAGAAAGGGGAGUUAGAGAAUUUGAGGCUUUCUCUGGGAAGAUGGAACUGGAGAAGGAAAGAAUGCCAGUAGUACCUGGAACUGAACACUCCCCACCAAGCCCAGUGCAGCUACUGUGACCAACCAGCUUUCUAGCUGAGGCUCUCUCCAUAGCAGAAGAAGCCUGCUAUGGGAGCAGACACCAUGUAAUCCAGAUGUGGAUCACUACACAAAGGCACCAGAGAAAGUUUUAAGAGCCAGGGAGAGAGAUGCAGACAAAGGAUUGGAAAAUCUUUCAAUAUACUCAGUCUCAGCUCAAGUAUUUCAAAAUGCCAGAUUCUCUACCGGCAUUUACAGUGAAAAUCCAGCAGCAGACCACACUGCCUGACUCUAGAUCCAUGUGGACAUGCUCAGUGUAAUCAAGAAGAGGGUUUGGCAUCUGCAAUCUGACAGCUUUCAUCUUUUGCAGAAGCUGUGUUUGAAAAUCUUGUGAUAUAUGCCCUUUCCUCACAUCUAAACACACAGCAUAGCUUCUCGUCUAUGAAGUGUUUCCAUGUUGGAAUUUCAACAGUCAAGAAGAGAAAUGCCAGGAGAAUUGUUUGUGACAACAAGAUGAUAUGCAAAAUAGUUUUGGAUAUCAGUUCCCUUGGAACGUCUCAAAUGUGAAAGCUUAUUUGUUUGGAAGAGAGGAAUUCUCUUUAGCAGCAAAGAGAGUAACAAAACAGCCAAGGUGGAGUGAACAUGAUUAAAAAGAAAUAGAGUCAGGGAAACAGCAUUAUAUUACAUUUUCCUCUAAAUCUAAGCUACUAUAUCUGUAUAUGAGCAGAGAACAGAAAAGCUGGUAUGCAGAAAGCAGGCGUCCAUCCUAAUAUCCCAACACACUGGAUGUAAGAAAGCACCAGCUACAUGCCAUAAGAUCUAAUUACCACGAAUUGCCUUUCCUGCCCCACAGCAAUCAUUUUGAUGACAGGCUUCUCUGCACUGUAAAACAAAAUGGGAAACCUGUGCUGUAUAAACCACCUCAUGCUUCUUUUCUUCCUCUGCUAUCGGCCUCCCUAUCUCAUUUAUUUUCCACACAUUAAUGGUAGCAGUCACCUUGAGCUGGUGAUGCAGAGUAAUUUUCACAGAAACCUUGAUCAGAAACCAUAAAUCAGUCUGAUGUGCUUUUAUGGUCUAAUAACAUUCCGUUUGCUCCUACAGGUCUGUAUGUAAAACUGCAUUGCAGUGAGUCCUCUGGAUUUUCUUUUUCUUUUUUUGUGUAGCUCAUUCUUGCUCUCAGGCACUUACUCACUCUCCCUCCCUUCAUUCUCCUUCUCCCUCUCAGCCUCUCUAACAUGAUUUCUAGGCACACAUAAGCGCAUACCCAUCAUCAUUGGUAUAGUUCGUGUGUUACAAAACAGCAUUUAACUGCCAUUGUAUACAUGCCAAGGUAGCGGGGAUGCAUACACUUUCAGAAGGGGAAAACGAUGUGUGUUAGAUAACAAUGAAGUAUCUCUGACCGCAGUAGUGAAUGCAUCAGUUGUCCAGGCUGUGCUAUGUCUUGGUCGACUUCAGAAUGAGGUUUGCAUGUGUAUGAUUGUGUUCUGCUGUAUACUGAUUGCCAGAGGCUUGCACUCUUCCCUCAGUCCAGCAGAAAGAGUAUGAUGUGGAGUGGAAUGUAGGCUAGUGGGAUAUCUGGAAGAAGAUCUGUGAUCUCAAGGCAAAGGAGGCAUGAGUUUGAAGUAAAUGCAGUAGGAUAAAGGCAGCAGUGCAAAGGUUGCUAUCUGUUGAAGGUGAGGUCCUGAGCCUGUUAUUCAGUUGCAUCAAUGGCAGGACUGAUAAGCAAGCAUCAGCAUGCCAUCAGGCUACUGUGAAGUAUGUGCAAGUUAGCCAUAGUGAUCACCUACCUUAGCCUGCAGCAUAAUCUGAACAUAUCUGUGUACUUGGCUCAAGGACCAGGAGGAAAAGGCAAACCAGGUAAAAACCAAUCUCCACCAUCUCACCUACUUAUGUGUGUGCUACCUAAAAGUCCUCUGGGUAGGUACAAUGUAAUGGGUAGCCGUUUCCCUUUUAGACAGAAGAAAGAACACUUAUAUCUGUGUUUUCCACAGGAUGGAAACAUCUACAAGUGAAAAAUCAUUCCUGCAUUGCAGUUUGGUGAAUCAGUGCAGGAAAUGAACAAAGACCCUCUGACUCAGGCUGGGAGAGUCAAGCUUUGCUUUGGAAGGGAGGAAAGCUGGCAACAAGCUCUGAUUUUUUUCACUGCUAAUGUAUCGAGUGAUAAUUACUCCCCAGUAGACCUCCAUAAAUUCCAACAUUCUUAACCGGUGCUUCAUGAAUAUACGAAAGGGCUGAAAUGUACCCAGGUGUAUUAAUCAAAAUUUCUAGGACACUCUUCCUUACUUGGUAGUAAGAUACAUCUCCAAUUAUUUAUACCUAUAUCUAUUUUCAUAUCUGCAGGCAUUGCCCUUGUGCAUGUGAGUAGAGUCUUGUAUUGGAUGCUGGCAUAGCAAGCAAUCAUAAGGACAUUCAAAAUGUCAAUGAAAGGAUAACUGUAGAAUGUGGAUGUCAGCUUCAUCUGUAGGGCUCUUUGUUUCCAACUGUAAGUCACAUCAAUCCCCUUGCCUCACAUGCAAUAGUAUUCAAGUUAGGCAGCAGGGCUGUGUUCCUUUUUGUUUAAAUUUAUUUCCUUUAGCAAGAAAAUAUUUUUUCUCCCAUCAUAUCACAGAGUCCUGUCACCAUUGCUGCACCCUGAGUCCUCAGUAACAGUUCAGCACUGAAUUUUCAGAAACUGACAGGCAAUUUCUCCUUUUGCAACAGCUGGGGCUUUUCAGUGCUGCAGUAGCAAAGGCUAAAUGUGAAAAGGAAAUGGGGGUGAACACAAGUCCUUUCUCUCCAGUGUCCACUGCCCUUGGAUUCACAGCCCAGCAUUUGCUGUCUGUGUAGGAACUAUUUCUAAACCCUCAUAGCUGGAGGCAAUGUACACCAGACCAGUGGGGUGGGAGUAAUAAAGGAGAGAUUCAGUAAAGAACAAAUUCUUUUCAGAUUAGCUGAUUGGCAGCUGUGAGUAACUCGGCUCUGGCAGCAAGGCUGGAAAGAGCAGCCUCAACCUUGGUGCUCAUUAUUUAGCUGUAAGCCUUUCCUGCCAGGAACAUUUUUCUCUUUCAAUUCCUAAACUACUUUAACUCCUUAUGAUCCAAUCCUUCAUCAAAAAGAGUGAACUAAAAAGACCUUUAUUGGAACCCCUAGGUUGUAGAUGAGAAUUGACUGCAAGAUACAACUUCCUUUACCAACAAUUCUAAUCAGAGCUGAUAUUAUGUUAGGAAAGUCUGAAUUAACACUAGGUAUAUAAUACUCAUUCUGUGUCAGAUCUGAUAGAUGUCUUGAGGAAAAAAAAGAAGAAAUUAGUAUCAUAUGUAGGUUUUAUAUAUGACUACAUAAAGAAUUUAACCUACUAAGAACAAGAGGGAACAUGAAGUAAUAAUUUACUGAUUCUAAAGGUAUCUCUUCUUGGCAGUCAGGACAAUGCAAUCAACAGAGGUAAUGUUCUUAAAGCCUCCUGAUCUAAACGUAAAAACGUCAUCAGAGCUAACAGGAGGCCACUUUGACUCUGAACUGCUGUAAGAGAAACAUAAGCAAAACUAACCUUUAAAGCCACAGUCUUAUGAUUUAAUCAAAAUAUGUUUAUGUACAUUCAAUUAUGACAUCUAACUGACAGAAAAAGGACUUGUAAAAAUCAUUUGUCUCUCUACGUAUAUCUCUUGGGUGUAUAUUGAUGUAUUUCUACAGAUAUUUAUAAAGAACUUGUUUUUUCCAUGAAGCUCAAAAAUUACAUUAUAAUUUAAAAAUAUUGAUGCCAUUUUUUCUUACUAUAAGAUCAAUAAAUGUUUAAAUAAAGCAUUGAAUAAGGAUAUAAUUUGUCUAAAAGCUGCUUUGUUGGAUCUUGUGGUUAUAAAAAUCGUGGGUACCUAUCUUCAAUUAUCUUGGCAAUAGUGUUUAGAGGGAGGAAUUAAUGGAUCUUUGGAGACAAAACCAGGUCUAUGGUUUAUUCUUUCUUGUAGUGCAAAAUAUGAAUCUAAAAGCAGGAGCCUAGGUCACUCAUCUUCUUGCUCAGCCUUGUGGAGGAUGUGAUUUCACUUUUCUGAUUGAUACACAUUUUUUCUAUAUGUAGAGAUAAAAAAUAGGUUAUGGGUUAUUAAUAGCUGGGACAACAUAACAUUCAUUCUUAAAGUGUGAUGUUUUUCCUAAAUUAUAUAAUAAAAUAACACAUCUAAGCAUUUUUAUUCAAAAAAGACAGGAAUAAUACAAGACUUUUUCAAAAUGACUAACAUUUAGUCUUAUCAGGCUCCUUUCUGAUGCAGUUGCUAGGAGAUUAAAAGAUCAUUUUGUAGGCUAAUGUGCAAAUAUCAGAGGUUAUGUCUGAUCUUUAAUAUAGCUAAAAUAUGUGGCUUUUCUAAGGCUCAAAAGCCUAUCAAUGAAUUAUUAUUGAACACUUGGCAUUUAAUAAUUUCACAUGGUUUUUCAUUUCUCACUUUUUGAAUGAUAUGAGAGACAUGUGGCAAUUGAACCCAAGUCCAUCUUUAUGAAAGUCACUUCUGGGUCUUCAGUAACUACAGCUGUUUCUGUAAUUUCAUAGCGCAUAUAUGUAGAAUCGUUUCAUUCUGGAAGUUGAAUGGCAGGGUGCCCUCUCAGUUCCUCACUUCAGUGAAGUUCUAUUAACUACCCUUACACUGUAAUCCCAUGGCCAAACUAACAAUUCAAGUCUCAAGUCUUUCCUCACUCUCCUAUCUGCGUUUUGGUGGCAGUGGUUGUCUUCCAUCCUAUCAUCUACUACAGUGAUUCUCAACCUUCCAAAUGCUGCAACCUUUAUCACAUUUCUCCAUGUUGUGGUGACUCCAGCUAAAAACUAUUUUUGUUCCUAUUUCAUAACUGCACAGGAAAAGAAGCAAAGCAUGGCGCAUGUCAUAAGUCUCAGGCCUGUGGACAGUCAGGUCUAACCAUGUUCAGUGAUGCUCCAAAGCCCUGAGCUUUUGCCCUUCUUAUAUUUAGAUUCCAUUUAUUGUAUUUGUUCCUUCUGACUAGUCUAAAGAUGGAAACUCUAUUUUAUUCAUCUUUGUUUCUCUGAGUCGGGUAGCAUAGUGUAUUAUAACAGGCUGGG